GAUGAACGCUAGCGGGAGGCCUAACACAUGCAAGCUGAGCGGUAUUUGUCUUUCGGGACAGAGAGAGCGGCGUACGGGUGCGGAACACGUGUGCAACCUGCCUUUAUCAGGGGGAUAGCCUUUCGAAAGGAAGAUUAAUACCCCAUAAUAUAUGAAGUGGCAUCACUUUCUAUUGAAAACUGAGGUGGAUAAAGAUGGGCACGCGCAAGAUUAGAUAGUUGGUGAGGUAACGGCUCACCAAGUCGAUGAUCUUUAGGGGGCCCGAGAGGGUGAUCCCCCACACUGGUACUGAGACACGGACCAGACUCCUACGGGAGGCAGCAGUGAGGAAUAUUGGACAAUGGGUUAGCGCCUGAUCCAGCCAUCCCGCGUGAAGGACGACGGCCCUAUGGGUUGUAGACUUCUUUUGUACAGGGAUAAACCUACCCUCGUGAGGGUAGCUGAAGGUACUGUACGAAUAAGCACCGGCUAACUCCGUGCCAGCCGCCGCGGUAA
rnacentral:rRNA from 1 species